UUUAUAUUACGUGCGGAAAUUGUUACCAUUUUUGAGCCAAAAAUGGUACCAAUUUUCGCACGUAAUAUAAA
rnacentral:miRNA from 1 species